GUGGGGAAUCUUGCACAAUGGGGGGAACCCUGAUGCAGCGACGCCGCGUGAGCGAUGAAGCCCUUCGGGGUGUAAAGCUCUUUCGGCAGGGAAGAUAAUGACGGUACCUGCAGAAGCAGCUGCGGCUAACUACGUGCCAGCAGCCGCGGUAAUACGUAGGCAGCGAGCGUUGUUCGGAGUUACUGGGCGUAAAGGGUGUGUAGGCGGUUGUUUAAGUUUGGUGUGAAAUCUCCCGGCUCAACUGGGAGGGUGCGCCGAAUACUGAAUGACUUCGAGUGCGGGAGAGGAAAGUGGAAUUCCUGGUGUAGCGGUGAAAUGCGUAGAUAUCAGGAGGAACACCGGUGGUGUAGACGGCUUUCUGGACCGUAACUGACGCUGAGACACGAAAGCGUGGGUAGCAAAC
rnacentral:rRNA from 1 species